UGAAUGGGAGUCAAUGGGAAUGCUAACGCAAGUGAAGUUCUGCUAAAAGAUGGCAGCCCCCACCCGACUUCAACUUCCGGUCGACUUCCUUGCCCCUUGGUGUCAGGUCCUUAGGGAAACUCACUUGAUUCCUCUACCUGUUUCGCUGUUUAAAAAAUAGCGCCGCAACUUGGUGGGCAUUAUUAUCCUCGUAAUGUCUCUGCGUGAGAAAUACAAGGUGUGGCGUGUGAGCGUGUGAACGAGUUGAAAUGCGUGGGUCUCACGCAUUGAGAGCCCUGCAUUUAAAAUAAGGAUGAUUUAGUUGUAUUAUUUCUGUGUAGUGUACCCACCCAGCACCAGACGUCAUUUGGACGUCGUUUUCUGAUCUAAAUCAAGUCGGCCCGUCAUGGCCAUCUUUUAGACCAAAAAGCGACGUUGAAAAUUGGUCUUCGAUUGGUCCAUCGGAUUUGGUCCAAAUUAAGCCCAAAAAGCGACAUUUAACGUCUUUUUUUUAUCCAAAUUUAGCCCAAAAAUAGAUGUAAAUGGGCUUUAGUCCAAAUUUAGCAGAAAAAAAAAAUUAUUUCGCACCACAAAGCCAUUAACAUAAACUAGUGAAGAAAUAUAUUAGACAUCAUGUCUGAAGCACUGUUAAAUAUAUUUAAAUAUAUUUUGAAAACACUUGAUGGUCACGCGCUGUACUGGAGUCACCAUGGAAACGGGCCUCAGCUCAACCGUCAAGCAGCUGAAAGGACGCUGUCUCACUUGUGGUUGUUUUCACUAAUUUCAGGUAAGUUUAAUCCCUAAAUUACACAAAUAUUACAUAAAAGUGUCUCUGAAACUUUCUUUCAUGUAAAUGACACGCUUUCGUUGAAAAUAUACUUUAUAGAAAUGGUCAGUGUCUUCAGAAAAAGUCCGUUAGCAUCUCAACUGUAAUGCCAAAUACAAGAGGUUACUUUGUGCAUUUUUCACAAUAUAUUUCGCCUACAUCAGCAUGAAUCUGUAAUUUUCUUAUAUAUGUGUGUGUUUAUAAUAUUUUCAUAAUAUAUAUGUCUGUGUGUGUUUGUUUGCCUGUUAGUUAUUUUGAUGUCCACAAGAGUAUUAAUCGAUUCUUCCAUGCUGAUGGCCGUGCGUGUAUCCAGCUGAAGAACAUUUUUAGACAUUAUGAAACAUAUAACUAAGUUUAGCUCCAACCCAAGUUAAGCAGACCUGAGCAGCUGAUCAAGGAUCAUUCUGCCUCUUUAUAGUGCAUGUUCAGAACAUAUUGCAGGAGAUCUCCACAUUGUCUCUCAAGGUCCACUUACAUGCAGAGUUUUACACCAACCUAGUGCAGUGCACCUGAACACAUCACUCAAGGUCUUCAGUUUUACUAACUAUAAGUCACAAACAGGUGAGUGUGAUCAGGUGUGGACGUAAACUCUGGGUGUGCUUCACUCAGGUCCGUUGCUCAGUAGUCAGUGGUGAAGGGCUGCCUCAUUCACAAUUUUCUUUUUACGGUGCACUGAUAAUUCGCUAUAAGAUUACACGUAAUAGAUUUUAAAACACAAAGCAAUAAUAUAUUUCAGAAUAAACAUAUCACUAGACAGGUAAUGUCUAAUCUAGUAAACAUUUCCAAUUAAUUUAUGAAUUAAAUCUUGCACAUACAUGUAAUAAAGUAUUUAUCAUAAUGUGCUGUAAAUAGCAUUAAAAGAAAGAUAUCAGUUUUACUGUUGUGCAUUAAUGUCAGUAGUGAUGUUGUACAAUGAGGACAGAAAUAGUCACCAGUGUAUAGUGAGCCACAGUGUUUACCAGUACCUACAUUAAUGUACACAAUAUAUUCACAACUUGGCAAACUGUGAAGCUGAUUGAGACGUAAACUCUGCAUGACAGUGGACCUUAAGCCAAACAUAGGUCUCUGCAGGAAAGUAAUGGGAGUUACCAGAUCAGGGUGUUUUUAGACCAUGAUACCUGAUUGGCUGACGUAGUGACGGUAGGUUUAGGGGUGGGUUUAGGAAAUAUUAAAUUCAUGAUUUAGAAACACCCAGCAGUUUGAAAGCACACACUAAGUCAUAAACGCCAACUUUUACUCUGCAGAGACCUAAGUCUCACCUUAAGGGCCAGAGCUGACAACCCCUGACAUAUUGAAUGAGUACACUUUAAUUUGUACAUUUUGGACAACCAUUGUUUUUGUAUUAUUAAUUUACAUUUUAGUUACUGUUUUCUUUUUCACUUUAGAUGCUAGAGAAAAACCAGCGAGGCUAAAGCAUUCAAAGUGGAAACAUCUGCCGUGGCUCAUUAAUCCAGAAUUGGGAAGGAGCAGAAGAAGCGGAGAUCAGGCAGAGAUCUACUGGUGUCCCUGUGGGAACCCCAUUUAUGUAUUAGUUAAACCAAAGAUUUUUAUCACUCAUUUUCAUGUUGUUCCAAGCAAGACUUUUGUUCAUCUUUGAAACAUAAAUGCAGAACUUUUUAAUGAAAUCUGAGAAUUUUUUUAUAUAUAUAUAUAAAAUAACGCAUGCACAAGCACCAUGAUGCAUCAGUGUUGCAUUGGCGUGAGAGCUGGCACUUUUGGUGCUUUUGUGAAAAUCCAUUGGGGAUUCAUAAUUUCUGAAUAGAUUAUUUUUGCUGUUGUUGUUUUUUUGCGUACACAAGGCAUCUGUUAAAAAAAAAAAAUCUUAAUUUGUGUUCUGCAACAUGUUUUGC